CGUUCCUUUCUGGUAAGAUACCGUCACACAUUGAACAGUUACUCUCAAUGUCAUUCUUCUCUUACAACAGUGUUUUACGAGCCGAAACCCUUCAUCACACACGCGGCGUUGCUCCAUCAGGCUUUCGCCCAUUGUGGAAGAUUCCCUACUGCUGCCUCCCGUAGGAGUAGGGGGAAUCUUCCACAAUGGGCGAAAGCCUGAUGGAGCAACGCCGCGUGUGUGAUGAAGGGUUUCGGCUCGUAAAACACUGUUGUAAGAGAAGAAUGACAUUGAGAGUAACUGUUCAAUGUGUGACGGUAUCUUACCAGAAAGGAACGGCUAAAUACGUGCCAGCAGCCGCGGUAAUACA
rnacentral:rRNA from 1 species